GGGGAAUAUUGCACAAUGGGCGAAAGCCUGACGGAGCAACGCCGCGUGGAGGACGACGGCCUUCGGGUUGUAAACUCCUUUUCUCAGGGACGAAACGGACGGUACCUGGGGAAUCAGCCCCGGCUAACUCUGUGCCAGCAGCCGCGGUAAGACAGAGGGGGCAAGCGUUGUCCGGAUUUACUGGGCGUACAGCGCGCGCAGGCGGUCGUGUAGGUACCUGGUGACAGUCUCGGGCUCAACUCGAGGGGGUCUGGGUAGACCGCACGGCUGGAGGCAGGGAGAGGGAUGUGGAAUACCCGGUGGAGCGGUGAAAUGCGUAGAGAUCGGGUGGAACACCAGUGGCGAAGGCGGCAUCCUGGCCCUGACCUGACGCUGAGGCGCGAGAGCGUGGGGAGCAAA
rnacentral:rRNA from 1 species